rnacentral:tRNA from 1 species
GGGGCUGUGGCUCAGUGGUAGAGCGCUUGUCUCUCAUGUGUAAGGUCAAGGGUUCGAUCCUCAGCACCA